rnacentral:rRNA from 1 species
GAUGAACGCUGGCGGCGUGCCUAAUACAUGCAAGUCGAGCGAACAGACGAGGAGCUUGCUCCUCUGACGUUAGCGGCGGACGGGUGAGUAACACGUGGAUAACCUACCUAUAAGACUGGGAUAACUUCGGGAAACCGGAGCUAAUACCGGAUAACAUGUUGAACCGCAUGGUUCAACAGUGAAAGACGGUCUUGCUGUCACUUAUAGAUGGAUCCGCGCCGCAUUAGCUAGUUGGUAAGGUAACGGCUUACCAAGGCAACGAUGCGUAGCCGACCUGAGAGGGGGAUCGGCCACACGGGAACGGAGACGCGGUCCGGACCCCUAGGGGAGGCAGCAGUAGGUAAUCUUCCGAAAGGGGCGAAAGCCUGCCGGAGCAACGCCGGGGGGGUGAAGAAGGUUUUCGGAUCGUAAAACUCUGUUAUGGGGGAAAAAAAAAUGGGUAAGUAACUAAGCGCGUUUUGACGGUACCUAAUAAGAAAGCCCCGGCUAACUACGG